AGAACGAACGCUGGCGGCAGGCUUAACACAUGCAAGUCGAACGGGUGUAGCAAUACACCAGUGGCAGACGGGUGAGUAACACGUGGGAACCUUCCUCGUAGUACGGAACAACUCAGGGAAACUUGUGCUAAUACCGUAUACGUCCGAGAGGAGAAAGAUUUAUCGCUAUGAGACGGGCCCGCGUCGGAUUAGGUAGUUGGUGGGGUAACGGCCUACCAAGCCUACGAUCCGUAGCUGAUCUGAGAGGAUGAUCAGCCACACUGGGACUGAGACACGGCCCAGACUCCUACGGGAGGCAGCAGUGGGGAAUCUUGGACAAUGGGCGCAAGCCUGAUCCAGCCAUGCCGCGUGAGUGAAGAAGGCCUUAGGGUUGUAAAGCUCUUUUGGCAGGGACGAUAAUGACGGUACCUGCAGAAUAAGCCCCGGCAAACUUCGCGCCAGCAGCCGC
rnacentral:rRNA from 1 species